GGGACCGUGGUGCAGUGGUCGCACGUUCGCUUCAUAAGCAGAUGGUCAUUGGUUCGAUUCCGUUGCUCUUG
rnacentral:tRNA from 1 species